CAGACACACACACACACAGAGAGAGAGAGAGAGGAGAAGAAGGGCUAAAAAGUUCUCUUUUCUUCGGUUUGCGACUCACGUUAGGAAGGCAAUCGUUGCUCCUUAUAAGUCUUCUUGAUGUUAGCGGAAGAGGAUUCAUAAAGCUAACCCCAUAUAUAUGGGUGAAAGUAUGCUCAAGUAUGCUCUCUGUUGCUUUUUUAAGCUGCAAAGGCUAUACGUUAGAAAACUGAAAGCUUGCAGCAGUCCAUUUCCUCCAUUGAAAGAGUUGAUAACUAAGGAGCAUCCGUGUCUCUCUUUUCUGUAACUGCAAUCCAGCAGGAGUUUUUCUCGAUUUAGUUCCAGUUUAUGUUGUUUUAAUUGUAUGGAAAUUCUUUCGCAUCCUUACGGCACUCUAUUUGUUCUUGCAGCUUUUCAGGAUGCUGUUAUAACAGGUUUCUUACUGGAUACAGCACGUAACAUUGUUGAAUACAUUGAAGUAAUAUCGAAAUUCUCAAAAGUGAAGUUCUUGAAGCUGUUCAGAACGAUUCUGCAUUUAGUUACUUUUCAAGAUAUCCCUGAAAUUUACCAUUUUUUCUCAAAAUUUGAUCUGUCUUGAUAAACUUGGUCCCUGUAUCACUGUGCAGACUCAUAGUCAGCUGACAUAUGAGAUGUUCAUUGAACUCAGUUUGGAAGAUCUGAAAAAGAUUGCUUGCCAUUAUGGAUUUGAAAUGGAGUACCUACAAUUAAUCUUUAAGAAUCCAUGUACCUUGCAGCCUUUUGGACAAUGAAGAAGAAACUAGUGAAGCAAAGUUAUUGUUCUUGAUGCAGGUUAGCCUUGGAAAUGAAGUGGCAAAAAGGACUGAUGGUGGACUAGUGGGAUACAUGAAAAACUGUACUUAUUUGGCCACUGUGAAUACUUUAACUUGGUACACCAUCCAUCUAUGUUCUUUUUUUUCUUUAAUUGUGAACUUGAAAUAUUACAGGUUAUGAAUUCUAUCUGGAGACAAUUCAUUUGGUUAAAAAAUCAUGGUUAGAUUUAUUAAGACAUCGCUACUCUACAUAUAUUUGUGGUUUAAACCAUCAUCUUACUUGAAUAUUAUCUGUAAUCACUGCAAGUCCAUCGUAAGGCCGCAGUGCAAAGUAUUUCAACCAAUGUUGCAGAAUGAAAUCGCACACCUAAACACAGAAUUGAUAUAUAGAUAUGCGGGACUGAACAGGGACUAGUUUAAAGGAAAUCAGGGCGUGACCCCAUUCUUUCUAUUAGUAAAAUGAUAUUUUAGCCGCGGUUGUUUUGGGUCACUUAGUAGGUUCACUGUAG